AUUAAUUCGUUCAAACUACAAAACACCCAAAAAUUUUAUUGAAUGUUAGUGAAUCAUAACAUAGUACACAAGGAUGCUUAUUAAUUCUAUCUUUAGCUCAACUUCUUCUGCACCUUCUCAAAUCCUAAUUGGUGCAUUCAUUAGAGGCUUCUUCAUGCUCCAAGCAUUGAGGUUCUCCACUUUAAUAGUUUCAGACCCAUUAUUGAACACAAACAAGUGAGCCUUCCCAAACACAGCCAAAGUAGGAUAAACCCUAGAUAAGAUCACAGUUUUGCCUUCAGCUCCAAAACUUUCUACCACUGAAUUAUCAAUCAAACUCCUAAGUGAAAGCUUCUUCUUUGUUAAAUGUACAUCAACCCACCCAGCAAAAGGUGGUUUAUAUAGUCCACUCCCUAAAGAAGAGCUUCUUGCAUCAGAACAUAGGAGAACAACAUGCUUGGUUUGUGCUUUGAAUAUUCUAAAGAAGACAGGAGUAAAUUCUUCUAGCUUUUUUGAGGCUAAUGUCAAGAGCCCAAAUGGUCCAAGACCACCUUGAACUUUGGAUCCCUUUUGAGCGCAAACAUCUAGUGCAUCAAUGUUUGCCCAUUUAGGGUCAAAUCGUUCAGCUUUAUC
rnacentral:misc_RNA from 1 species